rnacentral:rRNA from 1 species
UACGUAGGUGGCAAGCGUUAUCCGGAAUUAUUGGGCGUAAAGCGCGCGCAGGCGGUUUCUUAAGUCUGAUGUGAAAGCCCACGGCUCAACCGUGGAGGGUCAUUGGAAACUGGGGAACUUGAGUGCAGAAGAGAAAAGCGGAAUUCCACGUGUAGCGGUGAAAUGCGUAGAGAUGUGGAGGAACACCAGUGGCGAAGGCGGCUUUUUGGUCUGUAACUGACGCUGAGGCGCGAAAGCGUGGGGAGCGAACUGG